rnacentral:sRNA from 1 species
ACCAGGCUCAGUAGCACACCUGUAGUCUCGGGUACUUGGGAGGCUAAGACAGGGGGAUUGCUCGAGUCCAGGAGUUCUGGGCUGUAGUGCACUGUGCUGAUCAAGUGUUUGCACUGAAUCAUCAACAUGGUGACCUCCUGGAAACAGGGGACCACCAGGUUGCCUAAGGAGGGAUGAACUGGCCCAGUUUGGAAAUGGAGCAGGUCAGAAAGUCCCUACCUACACCUAUAUCUUGUAGUGUACCCUCUAAUUUUUGUGGUAGCAAUUUCAUAGUUUC